rnacentral:lncRNA from 1 species
GGGGCUUCCUCUCCACUGACUUCUGCAACAUGGCCCAUGUCACUGAGCUGGCAACCAAGAGGGAGGAGAAAAGAGAAAGGAACCCUCCCAUUCAUCCUUCCGUAUCACUACUCAGAACCAAGUACCUCUGCUUCUAAACUACAUCAGGGAGUGCAACUCCCAUGGAAUCACAGGACAAGAAGAAAUGGGAACAGAUAUUUAAGAAUUUGAAUUCUGUGAGUACCUUCUAAGAUACCCCUUAUCCUGACUAAUUUGAGGUGAUGAACUCAGGAAUGUUGCAUCUUGAAUCAGAAACACCUUUGUUAUUGCAUUGUUUAUGAGCUAGAUAAAAAAUAUAGGAAUUGUUCUCCAGUUUUUCAAGAUGCUGAUCAGAAAGAUAACGAUUCAAGGAUUCACGGCAGUGAAGUGAGAAAGUUUUUAGCACCCAAGGGGUCGGACUCAAAGGACCACGCUUCUGACAGUGAUUCUGGCAUCCUGAUGACCAGCCCAUGGUGGCACCUAGCAGUUGAUGUCAAAAGUGUAAAAGGUCAAGGAGGCAGAAUUUGCUGCAAGGAAGUAAAGAGUCCCUUCUACCUUUGCCAGUGCUACUUACCAGUUAAAAAAAGACAUCGUUUUUUGUGAUCCAUACUCCUGAAGGCCAAAAGCACCCAGUGGACAGACGAUGGCUCUUACGCCUCCAAUGCCAAGGCAAAUGGUCAGCAGUGCUACAUAAAACAGCCUGUGCUGCUCUGUUUUUGCUGGAUGGAGCCUUCUUUGCCACAAACAGAGUUGAGAAAGCUGGGGACAGAGGAGUGUGAGUGGAAGGAGAGGGGACCUAAAGUGACAAAAGAAGAGGCUUUCACAAUGUAAAGACUAUAUGCCCUUAAUAGCUAUUUGGCAACAGAUUCAUUUACCAUGAGAUUCCAAAGUUGGGAUUUCCAUCCUGUCUGAUGACUGACCUCAGAAUUUAGACUGAUAGAAAUUACCAUGUUAAACAAGAAGUCAACAAAUGCUACUGGUGUGGCCUGUUACCAAGAACUAAAGCUGUGAAGUUUCCAGGUUUGACUUAAACUCCAAUGGAUUCUCUGAAUGGUAAUUUACCACCUGCCUGAGAUUGUGUGAUAUGUUGAGUACCUGAUAUCUAUCCAUCUCUUUCUCAUCUGUCCCCCUACCAAUACUCAUUUCAGCUGCACUUCUCAUUAUUGGUGAACAGCAUGCUAUAUUCCCAAGUUGCUCAGAUCAGAAACUUGGAGCUAAUUUUUGACCCCCAUCACAUUUGUACCUUUAUUUAGUUGCCUUACAGCUUUUCACUUGUUCUCUCCUGAAUUGGCACUUUAUUGCUUAAACCAUCAUCCUGAGAUUUUCUGAU